rnacentral:rRNA from 1 species
UCAUCUAGAUUCUCUAGCCUCCAUUCUCGUACAUUGUUCGCUCCACUAGCACGGUUCUCCCUUUUUCCUCACUUUUUUCUCUCUACACUGUAGAUCUCCGGAAACGGUACAACCCACGCGAGCGUACCGUCCGGCGGUGGCAUUAUUUCUACCAAGAACACAGGGCCCCCCUCUAGCGUGCCCCCAAUAAGACAAAAUCGGGGCCCCAGAGGGGGGUAGCACAGGACCACACGAGGAAACAGACGUGGAGAGCAGGCUAGGCUAGAAGGACCGUGUUGCAAGAUGGCAGCGCUUAGCUAGUACCUCGAUGGCUGGUUUCUGGUUUCCAUGUUAGCUAUUAGAUGUCGACUUCGUAUGUAUUUGAAUUCUGUUUAAUGACGAGAGCAUUUAACAUAAGACAAGACUGUAGCAAAUGUGUCCUUAAGCAUUAGUGACCUUGGAUAAAUUCAAUGAGAGUAUCAACACCAUUUUAAUAAGCACACUAAGCGACAACGUAAGCAAUGGUGUAGUGUCGAGUUUAAACGUGAAGUUAUUGUUAGCCGCCAGGUUUGCUGGUUUAGCGAAACCAUAGUCUAAGUUAUAUAAAAUAAAAAAGGAGUCUUAUACCAUAUACACAGUCCAACAAUAACACAGAUUUAAAUACAAUUAUAUAAACUACUAGUGUUAAACUAGAACCAGAGGAUAAAGUUAAACAUUUGAGAAUGGAUUACAUCGGACUUGUCGACAUACUAGCCUAACAUAUCAUGUGUUUACUUUAGAUGUCAAUAGAAGGGACCUGGACCUGUAGUAUAAACAAGAUUAGCGGUAACCGACUUGGUGAUACUUCUUCGGACGGAACUAAAACCUUAUACACGAGUCGUCUUCUUAGAUUGGACCCUGCACCUGGAGUUAAGGCCAGUAACAUCCGGGUCGUCUGAAAGUCUUUGACCAAUUCUACACGAGAAGUAGUCAUUUAAUACACUAUAAACUAAGAAGACGUCAAUCAGGCUUCGACCAAUUCUACAUGAGAAGUAAUCAUUUAAUACAUGAUAAACUAAGAAGACGUCAAUCAGGCACCAAUCAAAAUCAAGUAUGUAACGAAAAUACGGUGUGUAUUAAAGUAUAACUCGUUCAGAUAAAAGUUAGAAGACUUGAUAAAAAAAGGGUAAUAUCAAGGUUAUAUAGACAGUCAUCAAAAUCAACACAAAAACAGGUCAACACAUGUGUAAGACAUAUCCCUAAAAGCACCUAGAACACGUCAACCAAAUAACAUCAUGUAUCAAGACACAAUUGACGUUUUAAGUACUGUACCACAUCCAACUAUUUACUUAACCAUACACGUCUAUUAAAGGUCGGUAAAUAAUCAAUCUAGACGUGAUCUAAACCGUGACAAGACGUCAUGAACGGCGUCGAUGACAAUUAUAACAAUUCAGACCUUUAAAUACAAGUGGGAGGAGAGGCGUCAUGAUGCAGUAAGUCCCACAUAAUCAGAAACAGGAUAAAACCCAGUUUCAAACUGGUAUACAAACUUACGUACAGUGGUUUAAUAUAACAACUUUAACAUAUACUCACAUCAAUUGUUAAAUAAAAACGACGCGUAUAGGAGGUAGGGUUUUAUUCACACAACUAAAUCAUGUACAAAAAAUUGAUUUCGUCGUUGUAAAUAAAACCUACCUCAUAAAAUAAUCAAUUUAAAUACCAGUUUUAUACUGGGUUUUAUAC